GGGUUGUGAGGUUAAGCGACUAAGCGUACACGGUGGAUGCCCUGGCAGUCAGAGGCGAUGAAGGGCGUACUAAUCUGCGAUAAGCGCCGGUAAGGUGAUA
rnacentral:rRNA from 1 species